rnacentral:rRNA from 1 species
UACGAAGGGGGCUAGCGUUGCUCGGAUUUACUGGGCGUAAAGGGCGCGUAGGCGGACAUUUAAGUCGGGGGUGAAAGCCCGGGGCUCAACCUCGGAAUUGCCUUCGAUACUGGAUGUCUUGAGUGUGAGAGAGGUGUGUGGAACUCCGAGUGUAGAGGUGAAAUUCGUAGAUAUUCGGAGGAACACCAGUGGCGAAGGCGACACACUGGCUCACUACUGACGCUGAGGCGCGAAAGCGUGGGGAGCAAACAGG